GUUCUCCCACUGAGGGUCAGAUUGUUCGCCUGUGGGCUGCCUCUCAAUCCGGAGGGGCUUUAGAAAAGACACGCGUUCCCAGCAGGAAGAGAAGAAAAGAAAAAGCCCACUGUGUUUAUGUUGUUAACCUUUUUUUCCCUAUUCAGAGAAAUGCACCACUCUCCACCUCCUCCUCCUCCUCCUCCUCUUCCUCUCCUGUGAGCCCUCCCUCCACCCUUCCCUCCCUCUGCCUCACUUUAUCUUCCUCUCUCACUCUCAUAUUUCGCAUAAAGGAGUCACAUUUCACUGAAGAAGAGGAAUCAAGACUUCACCUCUUCCUCCUUCUUCUUCAACAGUCCCGUUCCCUUCACUCUCUCUCUCUCUCUCUCCCUCUCUCUCUCUCUGCUGUCAUCUUUUCUCCUCCCAUCUCUGCAUCACACUUGGAUUCACUCCGUUUCCUUCUGCCUGCUUCCCAAACUUAUUUUACUUUGCUCUCACAGUUAUUCCCUUCCUGCAGACUUAUUUACUUUUUGUUUUGCAUCUGAAGAAACAGAUUUUUUUAAUGUUUAAAGACUUUUCCUUUUCUCCUAAACCAGAGGAAAGAUUCAGUUUGUCAACCCAAAGACAUUUCUCCCUCCACACGCCACUGUACCUCAUCAAAGGAUGUAACCACAAGGCUUCACGCUGUUCCGUCCUCAUCACCUCCCCUCCUCUCCUCUCUAGCGCUCAUCCCCAGUGUCGAGGAGACCCCCGCAGGAGAAACCAGAGCACUGCAGCGAGAGCCAAAGCACUGCGGUCACCUCCCCUUCCAGUGCGGUGCCACACCCCACACCUCGCCACCCUCUGCACCUCACUGUGCAAAUCUGAGCCGGAGUCAAGAUUCAUGGGAAUCCUCUGAACUCCAGCUGUGUUUCUCCCGUCUACCUGAUCUACAGCCAACAAUCAAACCAGCAGGAACAUCGGUUCUCUGGAAGUGAGUGACCUCUGACCUCCUAUGAAACAUAAACAGCUGGAUUCAACGGUAGACGUUGUGCAACCAGAAACAAAGACACGUUGAUUCAACUUUUACACCGUUUCCAUCUUACAAACACUUUCUUUUUCAAAAAUAAAAAUCUUAAAAGUGUGGCCUGCAUUUGUGUUCAAUACCCAUCAAUCACUGAUUGAAAACUACAAAGUAAAACUACAA